CCCCCUGUAGCUCAGUUGGUUAGAGCGCUGCACCGGAAUCGCAGGGCCGUAGGUUCAAUUCCUACCAGAGGAC